UGGGCCGGGCGCGGUGGCUCACGCCUGUAAUCCCAGCACUUUGGGAGGCCGAGGCGGGCGGAUCACGAGGUCAGGAGAUCGAGACCAUCCUGGCUAACACGGUGAAACCCCGUCUCUACUAAAAAUACAAAAAAUUAGCCGGGCGUGGUGGCGGGCGCCUGUGGUCCCAGCUACUCGGGAGGCUGAGGCAGGAGAAUGGCGUGAACCCGGGAGGCGGAGCUUGCAGUGAGCCGAGAUCGCGCCACUGCACUCCAGCCUGGGCGACAGAGCGAGACUCCGUCUCAA
rnacentral:lncRNA from 1 species